GGGCUUGUGGCUCAGUGGUAAAGCGCUUGUCUGGCACGCGAGGGGCUCUGGGUUCGAUUCUCAGCACCA
rfam:Ictidomys tridecemlineatus contig109622, whole genome shotgun sequence.